CACGUAGGGUCCAAGCGUUGUCCGGAUUUAUUGGGCGUAAAGAGCUCGUAGGCGGUUCAGCAAGUCGGGUGUGAAAACUCUGGGCUCAACCCGGAGACGCCACCCGAUACUGCUGUGACUUGAGUCCGGUAGGGGAGUGGGGAAUUCCUGGUGUAGCGGUGAAAUGCGCAGAUAUCAGGAGGAACACCGGUGGCGAAGGCGCCACUCUGGGCCGGUACUGACGCUGAGGAGCGAAAGCGUGGGUAGCAAACAGG
rnacentral:rRNA from 1 species